UCGAGCGGUACAGAAAGUAGCUUGCUACUUUGCUGACGAGCGGCGGACGGGUGAGUAAUGCUUGGGAACAUGCCUUGAGGUGGGGGACAACAGUUGGAAACGACUGCUAAUACCGCAUAAUGUCUACGGACCAAAGGGGGCUUCGGCUCUCGCCUUUAGAUUGGCCCAAGUGGGAUUAGCUAGUUGGUGAGGUAAUGGCUCACCAAGGCGACGAUCCCUAGCUGGUUUGAGAGGAUGAUCAGCCACACUGGGACUGAGACACGGCCCAGACUCCUACGGGAGGCAGCAGUGGGGAAUAUUGCACAAUGGGCGCAAGCCUGAUGCAGCCAUGCCGCGUGUGUGAAGAAGGCCUUCGGGUUGUAAAGCACUUUCAGUCAGGAGGAAAGCGUGGUGGUUAAUACCCAUCAUGUGUGACGUUACUGACAGAAGAAGCACCGGCUAACUCCGUGCCAGCAGCCGCGGUAAUACGGAGGGUGCGAGCGUUAAUCGGAAUUACUGGGCGUAAAGCGUACGCAGGCGGUUUGUUAAGCGAGAUGUGAAAGCCCCGGGCUCAACCUGGGAACUGCAUUUCGAACUGGCAAACUAGAGUGUGAUAGAGGGUGGUAGAAUUUCAGGUGUAGCGGUGAAAUGCGUAGAGAUCUGAAGGAAUACCGAUGGCGAAGGCAGCCACCUGGGUCAACACUGACGCUCAUNUACGAAAGCGUGGGGAGCAAAACGGGAUUAGAUACCCCGGUAGUCCACGCCGUAAACGAUGUCUACUAGAAGCUCGGUGCCUCGGUUCUGUUUUUCAAAGCUA
rnacentral:rRNA from 1 species